rnacentral:rRNA from 1 species
CCUACGGGAGGCAGCAGUGGGGAAUAUUGGGCAAUGGGCGCAAGCCUGACCCAGCAACGCCGCGUGAAGGAAGAAGGCUUUCGGGGUGGAAACUUCUUUUGUCAGGGGCGAAACAAGUGACGGUACCUGACGAAUAAGCCACGGCUAACUACGUGCCAGCAGCCGCGGUAAUACGUAGGUGGCAAGCGUUAUCCGGAUUUAUUGGGUGUAAAGGGCGUGUAGGCGGGAAUGCAAGUCAGAUGUGAAAACUAUGGGCUCAACCCAUGGCCUGCAUUUGAAACUGGAGUUCUUGAGUGCUGGAGAGGCAAGCGGAAUUCCGUGUGUAGCGGUGAAAUGCGUAGAUAUACGGAGGAACACCAGUGGCGAAGGCGGAUUGCUGGACAGUAACUGACGCUGAGGCGCGAAAGCGUGGGGAGCAAACAGGAUUAGAUACCCCAGUAGUC